rnacentral:rRNA from 1 species
CUAGACAUAAACAUGACUGUUUUUAUACUCACAGUCCGCCAGAGGAUUACAAGUGAAAAACUUAAAACUCCAAGGACUUGACGGUGUCCCACCAUACUAGAGGAGCCUGUCCUAUAAUCGAUACCCCACGUUUUACCUUACCCCUCCUAGCAAAAUUCAGUCUAUAUACCGCCGUCGUCAGCUUACACUGUGAACGCAUUAACGUAAACUAAAUAAUCUAACAUUAAAACGACAGGUCAAGGUGUAACUAAUGGAGGGGCAGAGAUGGGCUACAUUUUCUAUCCUAGAAUAUUACCACCUGCAGAAUGCAAACCCUGCCUACAGGCGGAUUUAGAAGUAAAAUAGGCAAGCUACGCCAAUUUGAAAUUAGCCCUGGGACAC